UGUUGAUCGCUUGACUGUAGGAAACCGUCCACCAGCAAAGUUUCCUGUUUCUCUACCAGCAUCAUCUUCAAUGAAGGAUGACGAGAUUCUUGCUCCAUCUCAAGAGCUGUGCAAGCAAGGGUGUAUCCUGGAGGCUGUUAUUGAAGCAAGUGCUACUGAAAUUAUCAAUCUCAUGGAUAGCCUAAAUGAAUGGGACAGUAAAGUGGGCGAUGGUGACUAUGGAAGCACAGUGUAUAGAGGUGCAACAUCUAUUCUUGAAGAUAUGAAAAAGCGGUAAGUUAAAAACACUACAACGCAUUAUGGUAAACCAAUACAGGAAGAUAAUGGGUUGUCUUUCUCUAAUAAAAUAGGGAAGCGUAAUUUAUGAUAGGUCAUUAAACUAUGAAGAAUAUAAGUAGUACAUCAACAAUAUAUGCACGUAGGGAAUAUUUCAUCAGACUUUGUAAAGCUCCACAUCAAACUGGUCCAAUUGGGCACAAUUUGCUAUGGCUUCAUUUCUCAAAAAAAGGAGUUUGCAUAUCAAUGUAUUUUAUCAUAUUAAUCACUAUUCAUAUAAUGUUGUUCUGCCUCUCGCAUGCGUGGGUUGUUGGCUGA